rnacentral:ncRNA from 1 species
GGCCCGCUAAUAUUUAUUAAUCUAUUAUAGAAGUUUAAUUCUAGCUUAAAUUUUCAUUAUAUAUAAAUUAUAAUAUGUAAAUUUAUGUUUGAUUAGUAUAUUAUUUAGAUAAUAAUAUAUAAAUAAUUAUUCUCAGUUUUUAAUAUUAAUUAUUAAUAUAUAUUAUAAUUAGUUAUAUAUAUUAAGUCUAACUAAGUUUGUGCCAGCAGUUGCGGUUAUACAAUAAGAUUAAGUGAAAAUUUAUUGGUUAAUAUAUUAUUAUGUUAGUAAUAUAUAUUAAUAUAUUUAAUAUUAAGUGAAAUUUUAUUAAUAUAAUAAAUAUAAGGUUUAUAUUAAUAUAUAUAUGAAGGCUGUUUAAUAAACUAGGAUUAGAUACCCUAUUAUUUAUGUUGUUAAUUAUUUAACCAUAUUAUUAUAAGUUAUGUUCUUUAAAAUAAAAGAUUUUGGCGGUAAUUUAAUCCUCCCAGAGGAACCUGUUCUGUAAUUGAUAAUCCACGUUAAAUAUAACUUUGGUUGUAUACUUGUAUACCUCUGUCAUUGAAUGUUUCAUUAGAAUAUUUUCUAUAAACUUUAAUAAGUAAAAUGUUAGGUCAAGGUGCAGUAAUACUUAAGUAGAAAUGGGUUACAUUAUAGAUAUUAAUUGAAUUAAUAUAUGGAUUAUAUAUUAUGAAAUAGGAUUUGGUGGUAAUUAUAAGUAAUUACUUAUAGUGAUUUGGGCUCUAAAUUAUGUACAUAUCGCCCGUCGCUUUCAUUUAUAUAUGAAAUAAGUCGUAACAAAGUAGGUUUACUGGAAAGUGUACCUAGUAAGGAU